CGGCGAACGGGUGAGUAACACGUGAGCAAUCUGCCCUUCUCUUUGGAAUAACCAUUGGAAACGAUGGCUAAUGCCGAAUAUGACCCCCCUUCGCAUGUUGGGGGGUGGAAAGCUCUGGCGGAGAAGGAUGAGCUCGCGGCCUAUCAGCUUGUUGGUGAGGUAAUGGCUCACCAAGGCAUUGACGGGUAGCCGGCCUGAGAGGGUGACCGGCCACACUGGGACUGAGACACGGCCCAGACUCCUACGGGAGGCAGCAGUGGGGAAUAUUGGACAAUGGGCGAAAGCCUGAUCCAGCAACGCCGCGUGAGGGAUGACGGCCUUCGGGUUGUAAACCUCUUUCAGCAGGGACGAAGCGAGAGUGACGGUACCUGCAGAAGAAGGACCGGCCAACUACGUGCCAGCAGCCGCGGUAAUACGUAGGGUCCGAGCGUUGUCCGGAAUUAUUGGGCGUAAAGGGCUCGUAGGCGGUUUGUCGCGUCGGGAGUGAAAACUCAGGGCUCAACCCUGAGCGUGCUUCCGAUAC
rnacentral:rRNA from 1 species